UGAAAAUCCCAAAUUUGGUUCAGAUUGUUGG
rnacentral:piRNA from 1 species